UUGAACGCUGGCGGCAGGCCUAACACCUGCAAGUCGAGCGGAUGAAGGGAGCUUGCUCCUGGAUUCAGCGGCGGACGGGUGAGUAAUGCCUAGGAAUCUGCCUGGUAGUGGGGGAUAACGUCCGGAAACGGGCGCUAAUACCGCAUACGUCCUGAGGGAGAAAGUGGGGGAUCUUCGGACCUCACGCUAUCAGAUGAGCCUAGGUCGGAUUAGCUAGUUGGUGGGGUAAAGGCCUACCAAGGCGACGAUCCGUAACUGGUCUGAGAGGAUGAUCAGUCACACUGGAACUGAGACACAGUCCAGACUCCUACGGGAGGCAGCAGUGGGGAAUAUUGGACAAUGGGCGAAAGCCUGAUCCAGCCAUGCCGCGUGUGUGAAGAAGGUCUUCGGAUUGUAAAGCACUUUAAGUUGGGAGGAAGGGCAGUAAGUUAAUACCUUGCUGUUUUGACGUUACCAACAGAAUAAGCACCGGCUAACUUCGUG
rnacentral:rRNA from 1 species